UACGUAGGGUCCGAGCGUUGUCCGGAAUUAUUGGGCGUAAAGAGCUCGUAGGCGGUUUGUCGCGUCUGCUGUGAAAACUCGGGGCUUAACCCCGGGCCUGCAGUGGGUACGGGCAGACUAGAGUGCGGUAGGGGAGACUGGAAUUCCUGGUGUAGCGGUGAAAUGCGCAGAUAUCAGGAGGAACACCGGUGGCGAAGGCAGGUCUCUGGGCCGUAACUGACGCUGAGGAGCGAAAGCGUGGGGAGCGAACAGG
rnacentral:rRNA from 1 species